UGGGGUGUAGCUCAGAAAUGGAGUGCUUGGCUGGCAUCCCUGAGUCCCUGGGUUCAACCCACAGCACCUCAG
rfam:Mus musculus chromosome 14, GRC primary reference assembly.